rnacentral:rRNA from 1 species
UUCGGGCUUUUCUUGCGCAGGGUAGGUGGGAGGCUUUGAAGAUUUUCUUCCGGGAUAAUUGGAGCCAUCCUUGAGAGACCACUCUGGGAAGGCUAGAAUUCUAAUGGUGAUCCYUGAAUCAGGACACUUGACAGUUUCAGGUGGGCAGUUUAUCUGGGGCGGAUGCCUCCUAAAAGGUAACGGAGGCGCGCGAAGGUUCCCUCAGUCUGGWCGGAAAUCAGACAUUGAGUGUAAAGGCAAAAGGGAGCUUGACUGCGAGACCUACAAGUCGAGCAGGGGCGAAAGCCGGCCUUAGUGAUCCGACGGUGCUGUGUGGAAGGGCCGUCGCUCAACGGAUAAAAGUUACUCUAGGGAUAACAGGCUGAA